CUCAGAGUGCACCCUGGAUACUGGAGGGUCACCUGCAGCCUGCAUGGUGGGGUCUUGCAUUGGGAAGAGCUUUGUGUGACUCUGCAUCUCUCUCAGACCUUCCUUAACAAGGAAGCUUCCCUUGAGCUUGCUGUGGAGAAGAGAUACAUUCCCAUUUUCACCUACUCUGUUUUAUUCACUCUUCCUCUUUUCCAGGAUUUUAUUUUUUCUAAGGUGCAUCAUUGUCAGAGAAGUAAUAUAUGAAAACACAUACAAUCAAGGCCUUGGGACCAUUGAAUGAACAUUCCUCUGUCUUCUGGAGAACCUUCUAUUCCCUUGAGACUUGCUUUCUGACUGCUGUUGGAGAUACAACCUUGGCAGGCAGGUUACAGGGCAGAGCAGAGACCAGGGGGACAGAACCCCGUCACUGAGCCAGAGCUGCAGCAGUGCUGACAGUAUCUAGGUCAGAAUGCAGCGAUUCUCCGUGGAUGAUGGAUGGCUGCAGAGCUGAAGGCCAGCACUGGCAGUGGAGCCAAGCACUCCUUUUCCAUCCAAAGGGCACAAAAUCCCCCCUCAUCCAUCCAGCAUCAUUGGGAGGGGGCCCCAUGCCAUAGCCACCAGAGCUGAACUAAUGCCCAUCACUGAUCACUGCUCCACAGAGCCGAGAAAUCAGCGUUGCCAUGGGAUUCGGAUACAAUAAGCCAAAGGAUCUGGAUAUCAACCAAGUGCCCAGCUACCAGGGCCCUAAAAACAAAACUGAUGCUGAAUCUCUCCUCUAAAAACGUCACACUUCUCUUUCUCGCACAGGAGAACAAUGUCAAAUGUUACCCCAUAUUAUUCUCGUGUUUUGAAUAUCUGCACUUUGAAGUUUGUUUGGCUCCAGGCAAGCUUGUGCACUCAAACAUUUAUGUGCUUCCUCCAAACACCUUCAUUGGCCUAAUGAAAGAUAAUGCCUCAGCCAACAACCGUACUGUCCUCAAUGAGAUACAGCUUUGGAAGCCAGCCCACCAACCAUUCACAGACCAUAUAUCACAACGAUGACCAUGAACCUUCUCCCUCCUGCUACUGUGCCUCAGCCCGCUGUGACCAGAUCAUGAAAGGAUCAGUGCUUUCCCUAUAUGUCAUCCCCUAGCACUGUAAGACUGGCACCUGUCUCAAGAUUUGUGCUAAGCCCUGGGUCUUCCUCAGAGAUUGAUUCGUGCAGCCAUGGCUUUCGGUGUCAGAAGAGACCACAGGAUCACCCUGCCUGGUAGCAGAGGUCAUCAGUUUCACAGGGUUCACACCAACUCAUGCUUUGUUGAAGCACGUCCCUCAAACAGAUGACAGUCCCCUCUUGAUUUGACAGCUGCAGAGGAUGGAAGAUCUGUAUCUUCCCACUACUGACAGAAGUUUAUAAGGUCAUUCGUGAGGUUUAUUCCCAGUUAUUGAAAGCACCAGGGGAACUUUCCUGUUUGUCUUGAUUCCUGGCAGAAGACAACAUCUAGUUCUGUGCUCCUGACCUAAACUGUUAAACUGUGAUGCCAACCAUCUAACCAGCCUGCCUUCCCAGCAAGGCCUUACUGUCUAUGAAGUGCCCUAUAACCUGGGAUUUUGAGUAGCAAUACUAAGAAAAGGAGGGUGCCAAAAAAAAUGUUCACACUUCUGAGCUGCUUCUGCAGUGAUGGGGAAAGAGGGCUGAUAUUAACAAGUGUUUGGGGGCAGGAACUGUCUGUUAUUUGUAUUUCAGGCGAUAGCUAACACAUUAUAGGCGUUAAUCUAAUAAUAUUCACUGGCUGUCUGAUACAGGAUGCUUUGUCUGAACUAGCCAGCCUAACACAGAUCGCCGCUUUGUUUCUGCCAUAGUAGAACUUACCAGAACAGCAUUUUUUACUAUGAACAUUUCUGCCUCAAUCCUGCGCGUUCUGAUGCUGGGUAACUUCCUCUCCCAACUGGCACUGAACAAAAAGACCUGGAGUAUAAACCACGUGGUUUAGCGAGCACACAGUGCUUGCUCAUCGUAGGUGGGCACACACAGAGGUGCAGCAGCUGACUGGCCACCACGACCUCAUGCAGAUCUCAGCUUGUUCCCUCACCCACAGCAGUGCCCUCAUGAUGCAGUGCUGUUGUUCGGUUCAGUACAGAGAUGGCUGUGCAAAGUCUCAUUGAUGAGAACAGGGGGCAGUUUUUGAAGAUUAUAUAGUGCACAUUUAAUUAAUAAAUCCCUGUUAGCGGCCCUGGUUAGAAAAAGACAGGGCUUCUGCACCUUUUCAGCUUGCAGAUGUGAUGCACCAAAAAAUUCCCUUUCUGUUCUCAGCUCCGCGAUGUGGAUAUCCUCACUGGGAGCUGACAGAAAGCAAGGCACAGGAAGGACCUCCUCCACUGUGUGUUCUGUGCCCACCAAAGCUGCUCUUAUCUACCUCCGGAGAAGACAGAAAAAAGCAAUCUUGUGGCCCAGACAGAUCCCGGUGGAGCAGGAAGCACUGCACCACACAGGGUAAAACUGGUACAAAAUGUUACUAAUCAAACACGUGGAAAGAAACGAAGGGGAGAGAGAACAAAACUGUCAUUACCCACUAUUUUGACUGUUGAAUCUGGACUAUUCAUAGUAACACACCAAGUGUAUCCAUCCUACUGCAGUAACGAGUGACAGCCGACUACUCAACAAUUAGGUUUUCCUUCUCCACCUCCAAAAUUAAGGUCGUAACCUCUUGUAUUUACUUUCGGGAUGUGGUAAAUUAGAGCUUUGGCUUCAUUGCAAAAAUUAAUUAAAGCAGUCACACAAUGGUACCAUUCAUUGCUGUUCUCGUCCCUCCCCGCAGUCUGUCCUCAUGUCAGCUCUCUUUGGUUUUAGUCCCAAAUUCCAGUACGUGCUCGCCUGAAUGUAUUAUUUGGAAAGCGCACGCCGGCAGCCUUCAGCCCCAUCUUACCUACCCAGAAGCUUUCGCCUGUGUAGUUUGCAGCAGAACUGGGCUCACAGGAAAGCACUCACCUCAAGAUUUCUCCUCACCGACAUCCCAGGUGUCUGGUUCCGUAAAAGAGGAUCGGUGUUCAAGUUGCUUUCAUCAGAAUUUCAAAAAGUAAACACAGCUAAAUAGGAAGAAAAAUAUAUAUAUAUUCCAUACUUUUGUGGAGCUGGAAGUCUGCCCAUUGAAAUAUGUUGUGGCUUUUUUUUUUUUUCAGAAGCCUUUCUUUUGUGAAUGUAAUGCUUGUUUUCAAAGCUGGAUUUAUAGACUGGCAAAAUAAUGUUCUCCUUUAUAGGAGAAAGUGUUGCAUAACGUUUCAUAAGACCACAUCCCGAGGUGGUUCAGCACGCUCUGUGUACCGAUAAACACGGACAGCAGAGAGUUCAGGAAUACUGACCUACUAAAACGUGUGGCUUGCUGAGAACUCUGAUUUCAUAUCCUAUCUAAAGGCUAAAGCAAAAGGAUUGUCUGACAAAGGUUUGGGCUAAUGCAGAUGCAGGAGGUACAAUACAGCAGGCAACUUUGGCACUUCUAUGCAGUUCUACUGAAGUCGAAGUUGACGCUGCUAAGAAGAAAGGCACACAAACUGUUUGCAGAAACGACACCUAUUAUAGGCUUGAUUUCUUCAGAGUGCUUAAUACAAACAUAAACUUUCUUUUUUUUAAACUUACUGCUCACCUUCAUGAGUGUACUGAGGAAAUUUAAUCCAAACACCCAGAGCAGGGGCCCAGGGCCUUGUCCAGGUGGCUUUUGAUCUCUAAGGAGACACCACAGCCUCUCUGGGCAACCUGUGUCAGUGCCCAGCCACCUGCAUGGCACACAAGUGCUUUCUGAUGUUCAAGGGGAAUCUCCUGUGUUCCAGUUCGUGCUAAUGCCUCUUGUCCUGCAAGAGGUUUAGGAGAUGGCUAGAAGGACGCCUUUACUGAACGUACCAACCUGAGCCAGCAAAUGUUUGGUUUUUUAAACGCAUCCAGGGAUGGUGACUCAACCACCUCCCUGGGGAGCCUAUUCCAGUGCUUAACAACCCUUUCUGUAAAGAAGUGUUUCCUGAUAGCCAACCUAUACUUACCUGGCACAAUUUGAGGCCAUUUCCCCUCAUCCUGUCACCUGUCAGCAGUGAGAAGAGGCCAACCCCACUCUCACUGUAAGCACCUUUCAGAUAUUUGAAAAGAGCAAUAAGGUCUCCCCUCAGCGUCCUUUUCCUCAGACUGAACAGCCCCAGUUUCUUCAGUCUCUCCUCACAGGACAUAUUCUCCAAGCCCUUCACAAGCCUUGUUGCCCUCCUUUGGACCUGCUCCAGCACCUCACUGUCCUUUCUGUAUUGAGCGGUUAGCAAGAACAUUUCAGCUUUCCACUAUCAAAGAACAAAAACCCCACCAGUCUGUAAUGUCCAAGCAUGCACGCCCUGAUUCUCAUCUUUUGUGCCUUGUGAAUAGAGACAGAUGUGGCAUGGACUAUUUUUUCCUAUUUGCUGGUGAGGAGGGAAGAGGAAGAUUGAUAUCAGUCCUUCAAAAAUAAUCAUCUCAUGCCCAGUGUGCUCUGAAUGAACUACAUCCCAUGCUGGAUUUUGAAAAUGUACUGUUAUUUUCGGUUGUGGUUUUUGUUUUUGUUUUUGUUUUUUUCCAGUGAAAAGCUUACAGCUGAAAAUGAGACUGCAUUGAUAUUUUGCUGCAGAGUUGUUGCCUGUAGGUAGGCUUUAGAUGGAGCUGUUCCGUGCAAAUCAAUCCGGGCAAAGCAAUAGCAGCUGCUAUUUUGCCAGCAAGCAGAAAUGUUUGCAGAGGUACCCACAGUACAG
ensembl:lncRNA